GGGCUGCUAGCUCAAUUGGAUAGAGCGCAGAGCUACGGACUCUGAGGUUGAGGGUUCAAGUCCUUCGCGGCCCACCA
rnacentral:tRNA from 2 species